GGUUGUGUAGUGUAGUGGUUAUCACUCUGGAUUCUGAUAAAAGCCUUCGGGCUCCAAUCUUCCAGCGACCCCGGUUCGACUCCGGGCACGACCU